rnacentral:lncRNA from 1 species
GGGGGGGGCGGCGGGUCUAGGUUUAAGCCCUGUCCCUCUUAUUGAGCUGCCUAUGACUGUAAUAAAUGUAUAAACCUGUUACAAGUAACUCUCAAAACUAUGAUUUGUCAGACCCCUCAUUUCAAAGUCAUGUAUCCGCAUCUGGUUAACAAAGCAUUUAUUGCACCUUAGGACCUAGUAAUGUCAAUGUACACUGGCAGUAGACCAUUUAAUUUCCCACAGCUAUUCUAAGACAAGUUAUACAAAUAAAGUUGCUACUUAAUAGUGUUAUAUUGAUUGGUUUGUUUUAUGUCUAAUAUACAUCAUACAAUAUUUUAUUUAAGAUUUUUUUAUAAAC